GGCGGGACACGUGGUAUCCUGUCUGAAUAUGGGGGGACCAUCCUCCAAGGCUAAAUACUCCUGACUGACCGAUAGUGAACCAGUACCGUGAGGGAAAGGCGAAAAGAACCCCGGCGAGGGGAGUGAAAAAGAACCUGAAACCGUGUACGUACAAGCAGUGGGAGCCCCACCACUAAGCCAGUGGUGAACUCCACAUACGCAUCCUUUGCUGAGGAUGCGGUUAACGGAGCGAAAGCGACGUUCAACCGCAAAAGAAGCAGAGGGGGCUUAGUGGUGGGGUGACUGCGUACCUUUUGUAUAAUGGGUCAGCGACUUAUAUUCUGUAGCAAGGUUAACCGAAUAGGGGAGCCGGAGGGAAACCGAGUCUUAAUUGGGCGUUAAGUUGCAGGGUAUAGACCCGAAACCCGGUGAUCUAGCCAUGGGCAGGUUGAAGGUUGGGUAACACUAACUGGAGGACCGAACCGACUAAUGUUGAAAAAUUAGCGGAUGACCUGUGGCUGGGGGUGAAAGGCCAAUCAAACCGGGAGAUAGCUGGUUCUCCCCGAAAGCUAUUUAGGUAGCGCCUCGUGAAUUCAUCUCCGGGGGUAGAGCACUGUUUCGGCUAGGGGGCCAUCCCGGCUUACCAACCCGAUGCAAACUGCGAAUACCGGAGAAUGUUAUCACGGGAGACACACGGCGGGUGCUAACGUCCGUCGUGAAGAGGGAAACAACCCAGACCGCCAGCUAAGGUCCCAAAGUCAUGGUUAAGUGGGAAACGAUGUGGGAAGGCCCAGACAGCCAGGAUGUUGGCUUAGAAGCAGCCAUCAUUUAAAGAAAGCGUAAUAGCUCACUGGUCGAGUCGGCCUGCGCGGAAGAUGUAACGGGGCUAAACCAUG
rnacentral:rRNA from 1 species